UUUAGUCCAUUUUCGUGAUCUAGGUUGUAGACAAGUAACUGAGAAAUCUGAUGUACUGAGCUUGAUACAGAUGGUGUGUCUAUUUUAUUUUAAAGGUAAUAUUUGAUGUCUAAAGUUAAAGGUAACGUUAAGUGGUUCAACGAAUCUAAAGGUUUUGGUUUUAUCACUCCAGAAGAUGGUAGCAAAGAUGUAUUUGUUCACUUUUCUGCGAUUAUGGGCGAUGGUUUCAAAACCUUAGCUGAAGGCCAAAAAGUGGAAUUUGAAAUUACUGAAGGUGCUAAAGGCCCAUCUGCUGCUAACGUUAUUCCUCUGUAAUUUUUAUAAUUAAGAUUAAAACGAACAGCUGAAAACUCGCCCUAGCUAUCUAGGGCGAGUUUUU
rfam:Providencia rettgeri DSM 1131 genomic scaffold Scfld0, whole genome shotgun sequence.